rnacentral:rRNA from 1 species
UACGUAGGGUGCGAGCGUUAAUCGGAAUUACUGGGCGUAAAGCGUGCGCAGGCGGUUCGUGAUGUCUGGUGUGAAAGCCCCGGGCUUAACCUGGGAAUUGCAUUGGAAACUAGCGGGCUGGAGUGUGGCAGAGGGGGGUGGAAUUCCACGUGUAGCAGUGAAAUGCGUAGAGAUCGGAAAGAACACCAACGGCGAAAGCACUCUGCUGGGCCGACACUGACACUGAGAGACGAAAGCUAGGGGAGCGAAUGGG